rnacentral:rRNA from 1 species
GACGAACGCUGGCGGCGUGCUUAACACAUGCAAGUCGAACGAAGUGGCGAACGGGUGAGUAACGCGUAUCAACCUGCCCUUCAGAGGGGGACAACAGUUGGAAACGACUGCUAAUACCGCAUACUAUCAGAUGAGCCUAGGUCGGAUUAGCUAGUUGGUGGGGUAAAGGCCUACCAAGGCGACGAUCCGUAACUGGUCUGAGAGGAUGAUCAGUCACACUGGAACGGAGACACGGUCCAGACUCCUACGGGAGGCAGCAGUGGGGAAUAUUGGACAAUGGGCGAAAGCCGGAUGCAGCCAUGCCGCGUGUAUGAAGAAGGCCUUCGGGUUGUAAAGUACUUUCAGCGAGGAGGCGUUACUCGCAGAAGAAGCACCGGCUAACUCCGUGCCAGCAGCCGCGGUAAUUC